rnacentral:lncRNA from 1 species
AAAAUUUAAAAAUUAAUAAUUUUAGAAUUUAAAAUUUAAAAUAUAAAUUUUAGAAUUUUAAAAUUUAAAUUAUAAGUUUAAUUUUUAAAAUUAUAUGUUUCGAAUUUUAAACUUUAAUUUUAAAAUUUUUUAUUCAAAAUAAAAAAAAAAUUAUUAAUAAUUAUAUAUUAAUUAGAAAUGAUAUUUAGUAACAAGUGCUGCUAGUUUAUUAUAUUUAGCGGCAUUCACUAAUUUAUGCUGCUAGUUUAUAAUAUUUAGCGGCAUUCACUAAUUUAUGCUGCUAAAUAUAUUAAUUGACAUGAUUUAAAUAAAUGUCGCGGAGCAAAUAUUGCUGCAUUUAGCAAUAAGUGCUGCUACUUUAUUACAUUUAGUGUCAUUUUUUAUAAAAUGCUGGAAACUUCGGUAGCAUUUACUAAUUUAUGCUGCUAAUUUAUUCUAUUUUGCAAUAUUAAUAGUAAAUUGUUGCUAAAUUAUUAAAUUUAACGGCAGUUAUCAAGUAAUGCUGUUAAAUAUAUUAAUUAGCGCUAUUUAAAUAAAUAUGCGGAGUAAAUGCCGUUAAAUCAUGAAUUUGUAGUAGUGUCGAAUAUAUUUUAUGUGAGGACCAAUAUUGAGUAGGUA